GUUGCGGCCGGCGGGCGGGCGCCCGCGUCUCCACUCUCGCCGUCAGUCAUGGCACGCGCCGCGUACACCUCGGUGUCCGCCUUCGCCGCCGCGCUAGCACUACUCGCCGCGCUAGUCGCGUGCGAGGAAGAAGACUGCAUAGACUGGGAAGGGAAGUCGGUGCAGCACGGGCUGCUUUACGUACCUGGCCCUGGAGUGUGUUCGCUCUGCGUGUGCUACCACUCAGAACCGAUGUGGUGCAAGGCAAUAUACUGCGACCCGCCUUAUUUUUGCAAAAACUUCCGCGUGGGUGAGCGAUGCUGUGAGUUCGAGUGCCUAGACCCUCCCGAGAGGACACGAGGUACCGCGAGAGGCAACGGCUUCGGGCCCUGAUCUUAUCAGGCAACUCCUCCGCGCCACAUCAUGGACCUUCCAUGGAGUUGAAGGCCGGAAUAUCAUUACUAGCUGUUGCAGUCGCCAGAUUUGUAUGAAAAUAAGUUAAGGAAAAGGGUGUUGAAAAAAUGUCAAAAACAAAUAAGGAUUUGAAAACGUAUGGAAUAACCAAUGUUAUGAAAUUAUCUUAUGAAAAAUACGGCAAAAAUCAUAUGACGUAUACAAACUACUUUGAACUUUGUGGAUUAAUUUUGUCGCAAAA